GUCACACCCGGUUUUAAAGAACAAAACCAGGCUAGCCGUAUGUGUGCCCAGGAAGUCCACACAUACAACAACAGAAGCAAUAGUAUCAAAAACAAUGUUAUAUAGCGAAAACAUACUUAUAAUUAACACUUACAUCAGAGAAUCAUGGAAUGGUAACUAAUCUUCAGGCUCAAUCUUCACAGGGACGGUUGACUGGGGGUAACAUAUGCCUAGCACUUCUUGUAUCUUGAGAACAUCCUUUAUGACUCCAUCCUUCUAAUCAACUCUUUCUAGUGGACUGGAGUGGUGGGAAAUAGCAAGAGUGAGCACAUAUCGUACUCAACAAGUAUAACCAGGGGUUCAUGAGGCUCAAAAAGCUGACACUGGUUUGACUGCAUUUAGCUUUUAUACGUAGAUAUCAUGUUUAUAUUUAGAUAACAAAUAUCAAGGUAGAAUAAUUAAAUCCCAUAACCACAUGAUCAAUGUAC
rnacentral:lncRNA from 1 species